rnacentral:rRNA from 1 species
UCUGGGUCGCAUGGCUACAUGCCGUUGCUUAUGCCUUGUCGUACAACCGUCCGGUCAAGGACGUGCGAUGGUGUAGUGGUUGUGCAGCCUUUCUGCCGUGUCUGUGAAAACGGGUGCUGACUGGGUCUUUUAGACCUGUCGGCAUGCUUCCGGAUGCCUUUAACUGGGUGUCCGGGGCGGACGGCACGUUUACUUUGAACAAAUUUGAGUGCUCAAAGCAGGCCAUAGUGCCUGAAAAUCUUGCAUGGAAUAAUGAAAUAGGACUUCGGUUCUAUUUUGUUGGUUUUCGGAUCCGAAGUAAUGG